rnacentral:rRNA from 1 species
GACGAACGCUGGCGGCGUGCUUAACACAUGCAAGUCGAACGGAAAGGCCCUGCUUUUGUGGGGUGCUCGAGUGGCGAACGGGUGAGUAACACGUGAGUAACCUGCCCUUGACUUUGGGAUAACUUCAGGAAACUGGGGCUAAUACCGGAUAGGAGCUCCUGCUGCAUGGUGGGGGUUGGAAAGUUUCGGCGGUUGGGGAUGGACUCGCGGCUUAUCAGCUUGUUGGUGGGGUAGUGGCUUACCAAGGCUUUGACGGGUAGCCGGCCUGAGAGGGUGACCGGCCACAUUGGGACGGGGAUACGGCCCAGACUCCUACGGGAGGCAGCAGUGGGGAAUAUUGCACAAUGGGCGGAAGCCUGAUGCAGCAACGCCGCGUGCGGGAUGACGGCCUUCGGGUUGUAAACCGCUUUCGCCUAUGACGAAGCGUGAGUGACGGUAAUGGGUAAAGAAGCACCGGCUAACUACGU